rnacentral:rRNA from 1 species
UACGAAGGGGGCUAGCGUUGCUCGGAAUUACUGGGCGUAAAGCGAGUGUAGGCGGUUCGCUAAGUCGGAUGUGAAAGCCCCUGGCUCAACUGGGGAAGUGCACCCGAAACUGAAUGGCUUGAGUGCGAAAGAGGGUCGCGGAAUUCCCGGUGUAGAGGUGAAAUUCGUAGAUAUCGGGAGGAACACCGGUGGCGAAGGCGGCGACCUGGGGUCGACACUGACGCUGAGGCGCGAAAGCGUGGGGAGCAAACAGG